rnacentral:rRNA from 1 species
CAGUAGCCGCGGGAAUCCGAGGGGGGCAAGCGUUGUUCGGAAUUAUUGGGCGUAAAGGGCGCGUAGGCGGUCUGACAAGUCUUAUGUGAAAUCUCUGGGCUCAACCCAGAGUCUGCAUGGGAAACUGUCGGGCUUGAGUAUGGGAGAGGUGAGUGGAAUUUCCGGUGUAGCGGUGAAAUGCGUAGAUAUCGGAAGGGACACCUGUGGCGAAAGCGGCUCACUGGACCAUAACUGACGCUGAUGCACGAAAGCUAGGGGAGCAAACAGGAUUAGAGACCCCAGUAGUCCCUGUCUCUUAUAC